ACGCACGCUGGCGGCGUGCUUCACCCCUGCCAGUCGCACGGAAAGGCCCUGCUUUUGUGGGGUGCUCGAGUGGCGAACGGGUGAGUAACACGUGGGUAACCUGCCCUUGACUUUGGGAUAACUUCAGGAAACUGGGGCUAAUACCGGAUAGGAGCUCCUGCUGCAUGGUGGGGGUUGGAAAGUUUCGGCGGUUGGGGAUGGACUCGCGGCUUAUCAGCUUGUUGGUGGGGUAGUGGCUUACCAAGGCUUUGACGGGUAGCCGGCCUGAGAGGGUGACCGGCCACAUUGGGACUGAGAUACGGCCCAGACUCCUACGGGAGGCAGCAGUGGGGAAUAUUGCACAAUGGGCGGAAGCCUGAUGCAGCAACGCCGCGUGCGGGAUGACGGCCUUCGGGUUGUAAACCGCUUUCGCCUGUGACGAAGCGUGAGUGACGGUAAUGGGUAAAGAAGCACCGGCUAACUACGUG
rnacentral:rRNA from 1 species